GACGAACGCUGGCGGCGUGCUUAACACAUGCAAGUCGAACGGAAAGGCCUCUUUCGGGGGGUACUCGAGUGGCGAACGGGUGAGUAACACGUGAGUAACCUGCCCUUGACUUUGGGAUAACUUCAGGAAACUGGGGCUAAUACCGGAUAGGAGCUCCUGCUGCAUGGUGGGGGUUGGAAAGUUUCGGCGGUUGGGGAUGGACUCGCGGCUUAUCAGCUUGUUGGUGGGGUAGUGGCUUACCAAGGCUUUGACGGGUAGCCGGCCUGAGAGGGUGACCGGCCACAUUGGGACUGGGAUACGGCCCAGACGCCUACGGGAGGCAGCAGUGGGGAAUAUUGCACAAUGGGUGGAAGCCUGAUGCAGCAACGCCGGGUGCGGGAUGACGGCCUUCGGGUUGUAAACCGCUUUCGCUCAUGACGAAGCUUUGUGUGACGGUAGUGGGUAAAGAAGCACCGGCUAACUACGUG
rnacentral:rRNA from 1 species